AUCCAGCUGACGAGUCCCAAAUAGGAAGAAACGCGCAUCCCAUAU
rfam:Schistosoma haematobium scaffold1240_11, whole genome shotgun sequence.